UUGACCACUCAACAACUUCUUAUGGCAUGCAUGAAUUGAAGCUGAUGGUUGUCUGUUCAUCAAGUACAAAUAGUGUUAUUGUUUACUUACCGUUGUCAAGACCAUUGAAACUUCAUGAAAAAGAAGGCGGAGUUGGGUGCAAAUGGAUGCAUACUGUGUUUAAGAUGGGCAAAUCUGUGCCAGAAACAUCACAUCCACUGUGACUGGGACACCACACACAAGAUGCCAGAAUUAAACAGCGGGACUAUGGAGAAACUCAUAAGCAAAGAAGAUGACUCACUGCAAGUCUGUCAUAUUGGCCCAACUUGAGCAUUGAGUUGUGCUUGAAUUCAUACUGCUGAUGGAGCUGCAAUGGCAGGCCACCAUGUGGCAAUGAGUUGCAUCAAGAAAAUUCAUUGGAGUCUAAUUGACCACUCAACAACUUCUUAUGGCAUGCAUGAAUUGAAGCUGAUGGUUGUCUGUUCAUCAAGUACAAAUAGUGUUAUUGUUUACUUACCGUUGUCAAGACCAUUGAAACUUCAUGAAAAAGAAGGCGGAGUUGGGUGCAAAUGGAUGCAUACUGUGUUUAAGAUGGGCAAAUCUGUGCCAGAAACAUCACAUCCACUGUGACUGGGACACCACACACAAGAUGCCAGAAUUAAACAGCGGGACUAUGGAGAAACUCAUAAGCAAAGAAGAUGACUCACUGCAAGUCUGUCAUAUUGGCCCAACUUGAGCAUUGAGUUGUGCUUGAAUUCAUACUGCUGAUGGAGCUGCAAUGGCAGGCCACCAUGUGGCAAUGAGUUGCAUCAAGAAAACUCAUUGGAGUCUAAUUGACCACUCAACAACUUCUUAUGGCAUGCAUGAAUUGAAGCUGAUGGUUGUCUGUUCAUCAAGUACAAAUAGUGUUAUUGUUUACUUACCGUUGUCAAGACCAUUGAAACUUCAUGAAAAAGAAGGCGGAGUUGGGUGCAAAUGGAUGCAUACUGUGUUUAAGAUGGGCAAAUCUGUGCCAGAAACAUCACAUCCACUGUGACUGGGACACCACACACAAGAUGCCAGAAUUAAACAGCGGGACUAUGGAGAAACUCAUAAGCAAAGAAGAUGACUCACUGCAAGUCUGUCAUAUUGGCCCAACUUGAGCAUUGAGUUGUGCUUGAAUUCAUACUGCUGAUGGAGCUGCAAUGGCAGGCCACCAUGUGGCAAUGAGUUGCAUCAAGAAAACUCAUUGGAGUCUAAUUGACCACUCAACAACUUCUUAUGGCAUGCAUGAAUUGAAGCUGAUGGUUGUCUGUUCAUCAAGUACAAAUAGUGUUAUUGUUUACUUACCGUUGUCAAGACCAUUGAAACUUCAUGAAAAGAAGGCGGAGUUGGGUGCAAAUGGAUGCAUACUGUGUUUAAGAUGGGCAAAUCUGUGCCAGAAACAUCACAUCCACUGUGACUGGGACACCACACACAAGAUGCCAGAAUUAAACAGCGGGACUAUGGAGAAACUCAUAAGCAAAGAAGAUGACUCACUGCAAGUCUGUCAUAUUGGCCCAACUUGAGCAUUGAGUUGUGCUUGAAUUCAUACUGCUGAUGGAGCUGCAAUGGCAGGCCACCAUGUGGCAAUGAGUUGCAUCAAGAAAACUCAUUGGAGUCUAAUUGACCACUCAACAACUUCUUAUGGCAUGCAUGAAUUGAAGCUGAUGGUUGUCUGUUCAUCAAGUACAAAUAGUGUUAUUGUUUACUUACCGUUGUCAAGACCAUUGAAACUUCAUGAAAAAGAAGGCGGAGUUGGGUGCAAAUGGAUGCAUACUGUGUUUAAGAUGGGCAAAUCUGUGCCAGAAACAUCACAUCCACUGUGACUGGGACACCACACACAAGAUGCCAGAAUUAAACAGCGGGACUAUGGAGAAACUCAUAAGCAAAGAAGAUGACUCACUGCAAGUCUGUCAUAUUGGCCCAACUUGAGCAUUGAGUUGUGCUUGAAUUCAUACUGCUGAUGGAGCUGCAAUGGCAGGCCACCAUGUGGCAAUGAGUUGCAUCAAGAAAACUCAUUGGAGUCUAAUUGACCACUCAACAACUUCUUAUGGCAUGCAUGAAUUGAAGCUGAUGGUUGUCUGUUCAUCAAGUACAAAUAGUGUUAUUGUUUACUUACCGUUGUCAAGACCAUUGAAACUUCAUGAAAAAGAAGGCGGAGUUGGGUGCAAAUGGAUGCAUACUGUGUUUAAGAUGGGCAAAUCUGUGCCAGAAACAUCACAUCCACUGUGACUGGGACACCACACACAAGAUGCCAGAAUUAAACAGCGGGACUAUGGAGAAACUCAUAAGCAAAGAAGAUGACUCACUGCAAGUCUGUCAUAUUGGCCCAACUUGAGCAUUGAGUUGUGCUUGAAUUCAUACUGCUGAUGGAGCUGCAAUGGCAGGCCACCAUGUGGCAAUGAGUUGCAUCAAGAAAACUCAUUGGAGUCUAAUUGACCACUCAACAACUUCUUAUGGCAUGCAUGAAUUGAAGCUGAUGGUUGUCUGUUCAUCAAGUACAAAUAGUGUUAUUGUUUACUUACCGUUGUCAAGACCAUUGAAACUUCAUGAAAAAGAAGGCGGAGUUGGGUGCAAAUGGAUGCAUACUGUGUUUAAGAUGGGCAAAUCUGUGCCAGAAACAUCACAUCCACUGUGACUGGGACACCACACACAAGAUGCCAGAAUUAAACAGCGGGACUAUGGAGAAACUCAUAAGCAAAGAAGAUGACUCACUGCAAGUCUGUCAUAUU